rnacentral:lncRNA from 1 species
CUUGGAAAAAUAAACUUAUACCAGUUUAAUAAUUGAACUGUUCAAAACUUCUGUAUGCCUCCAUCCAUAUCGUCAAGACUGUAUCCACCUAUUCUGCAGCAAUAGUCGAUGAGUCGACCAAUAAAUCGACUAUGACCGAAGAUCGAUCCCUUACUAUCCAUAUAACUUUUUUAAUGACGAACAGUUCUUGUAUGUUACAUAUACUAGUACACAUUGUUUAUUCGUUAAAUUAAAACAUUGGAAACGAUAGUUA